rnacentral:tRNA from 1 species
GCGGACGUGGCGAAAUUGGUAGACGCGCCAGACUUAGAAUCUGGUGAGUAUUCUUGUGAGAGUUCGAUUCUCUCCGUCCGCA